CAGAAAAGACAAACAUAUAGUUUGCUUCCUGCAUGAUACUCGUCUUGCGUCAGGAAUUCAUCUUCCAGAACGAAGACAGAAGAAUCAUGUAGAGAACUGGUACACAUGAAUUCCCUCAGCUCAUUCCAGUUCAGUUCCAGAAGACUACAAUGAGAAGUCAGAAAUAUAAAGAUUUGAUGCUGGCAGGUUUGCAAUAAUUUGCCCCCUACAAAAAAUAUUGUUCCUCCUUACAAA